UGUAAUACCUAACUAACAGUAAUGAACGCUAUUUUGUUUGAGUACAGCGCUUCGUUCACGAGAAACAGAAAAGAAGCGCUUCAUUUCGCUCCAAUAUCGUGAUUUUGUUGAUCAUGAACAAGAAUCACUGGCGAGUAGUGAUGGACAAACGGAUCUUUUCAAAACGAGUCAGUUGAGUCGAUAGCUUCACAAAAUGAUUCACUAAUUCUAAUAUAUAUAUUAGAUAUAUCUAAUUUAUUAGAUAUAUUAUUAUAAAUCUAAAUAUAUAUAUAUUUAGACAAUAUAUACAAACAAAUUAAAUAAUUUAACUGUUUUUUUUAUUUUUCAUUUUACUAAAGAAGUAUUGUAAAUACCGGGAAGUAUUUUAGAUCGAUUUGAAAUACAAUAAACAACGAAGAGGAUUUAAAGUAUAUACAUUUAUGUGUAAAGUAUUUUGCUAAUAAAACAAUAUUAUUAAUCAAAUCAUAUAAAACCGAGCACUCUUUGGUUAUUCCGUACAUUAGAUCUUGUUAGAGUGAUCUUGUUAUGAUCCAGUAAAUAAAAGGGCUUAUUCCCAAAACGACAUCUUGAGUGUAGAAAUGUAUUGGAGGGAUAUAUCUUAUAUAAUAUUUUACAUUUUAUUUAUUUUACCUUGGGGAGAAUAGGAAAUUUUAGAUGGGCUGUUCUGAAAAUAUUUAACAAUGUUUUUUAUCAAAUGUAUGGUCUAAUUUAUUUCUUAAUAUUUGACAAGGGUAGCACAACUGGAUGAUAUAUUGUAAUAUAUUCUAUCUCAAUAUCACCAACGUAUAAUAAGGGAAGGACUGCAGUAAUUUUUCAGUAGGGAAGGGAACAUUUUUACACCCGAGGGUAUUUCAUUAAUAACCGUAAAGAAUUGCUUUGGAUGACAGGCAAAUCUGUGUUAUAGAGUAAACAAAUUAUAAUUUAACAUAUUACCAGUCUCAUCCAUUAGAUCCAACAUAGACCAAAUAUUUCGAUUUACCCAAUCCUCAUAAAACAGGGAUUUGUUUCUGUGUAAAAUAUAUGUGUUAUUCCAUAUAGGAGUAUUAUGGGGUGUAAAAUUGUAUGUGUGCACCAAUUUCCAUCAUAAAUAAGACUUGAAUGCUGAUAGCUUCACUGGAAGUUUGGGUCAAUCAUAGUCACAUCUGAGAAGGAAGCAGAUACCACCCACUUUACAAAACAAGGCUGAAGGCACUGCAUACCAAAAACUCUCGGUAUUACCUAAAAACAUUUGAAUCCCCUUUAAUAAUAUCAGGUUUUCGAAAAUGAGUUUUGAGCCUCCAAAGAAAAUCAUCAAUUUUUGAUAGCUUAUCUUUGUAAUACCUGAAGAGGGGGUUUGAUUCACUGAUUCUAAGCGCUCAAAUCUCUGCACUCUGACAACACUUCCUGUUUAACAUGUGACAAGAACAACAAACACACUUAAUAAUGACUACUUUAACAAACCAACGAGCGAUGUUUUCAUGAAAGUGUCAACUAUUAAAUGUAAACUUUAAAUUAUUGACUAAGAAAACUUUACUUAUUGUUUAGGGGUGGUGAAAAAAAUCGAUUAUUGAUUAAUCGCGAUUAUGUUAUGGACGAGUAUGAAUCGAUUAUUAAAUUUUCAAAAAUCGAUAAAAAAAAAAAAAAAUGCAUUAUUUUAUUUUGUAAAAAAUGUGACACCGGGAGUUGAACGUCACGAACGCGCCCAGUUCCAGUUAGCAAGCGCGUGUAACGGCAGCCAGAGCAGGUGUGUAAAAUGGAAGAACCAGGAACGAGCAACCAACCGAUCCACCCAGCUCCAUCUAGGCUCAAAGCAAGCGUGUGGAUUCACUUUGGUUUUCAUGGCAGGAGCUCUAAACAUGUGGAUAAAACGCAUGCCGUCUGUCGACAUUGCCACACUAAACUGAAGUACUGCGGCAAUACGAGCAACUUGAGGGCCCACAUUUCCCGCUUUCAUCCAGAGGAGGCAGGGUGGGUUAAAGACGACCGCCUGAAGCCCGUCAUCCCACCGAAUCAGCGCACUCUCCACGAUAUGACAAAAUUGGCCCCAGGCUCGGAGAGAGCUAAGAAAAUCACAACGUCGAUAUCUUAUUUUAUAGCUAAAGAUAUGAGGCCAUACAGUGUGGUGGAAAACCAAGGCUUCUGCUACAUGGUCCACAGUAUGGAGCCAAGGUAUGUGAUACCAUCCCGGAGCUUUUUUACAAACAAGUCGAUUCCUAUUCUUUACAAGGAGACAAAGUUUUUAGUGCAGGAGUCCCUCAAGUCUGCUCCCAGGGUAGCAAUAACUUGCGAUGCCUGGACCUCCAGAGCCACCGUCUCAUAUGUGACCGUUACAGCUCAUCAUGUCAACAGUGAGUGGAGGCUGAUUUCAUACGUGCUUCAGACGAGAGCUAUGGAUGAUAGCCACACGGGCGCUAAUAUCUGCGAGUUUCUCAAAGCUGUGGCGGACGAGUGGGGGAUAGAGACUCACGACCUUGUUCUAGUCACGGACAACGCUUCAAAUAUGAACGUGGCUGCAGAGCUUGGCAACUUUCUACAUGUCCGUUGUUAUGCUCACACCCUAAACCUCGCCUGCCAACGAGCGCUUAAGUUGCCCUCUGUAGCCCGACUGUUGGGUCGAGUCAGACGGAUCACCGCCUUCUUCCACCGCAGCACCACAGCCAGUCAUGUGCUGGAACAAAAGCAGGCCCUACUCGGUGAUGAGGCAAGAGGCUGAAGUCCCUGAGGGGAAAUGUGAUGACAUGGCUGAGGGGCAUGAUGACGGUGAGGAGGAUGAUGCAGUUCAGAAGGUUUGCGAUGAAGCCCUGAAGCUGCAUGAAGAUGGCCCUUCCACGCCCUCUACCUCAAGACCAUCUUCUCUGACUGCACUGCUGGGCCAAACAUUUAAUGUUGCUGUCACCACAGCAGAGCCCAAGUCGGCACACACCAGGGCUGAGGAAGAGGUUCGCAUGUAUCUGGAGGCCCCUUCCCUUCCUCUGACCGAUGACCCCCUUGAGUGGUGGAGCACCAACCAUCAUGUGUAUCCUCUCCUAGCUUAGCUGGCCAAACGAUAUUUAUGUAUCCCAGGUACAAGCGUUGCUGCAGAGAGAGUGUUCUCCACUGCGGGAGACAUUGUGUCAGCACAACGGAGCACACUCACGCCACAACAUGUGGACCAGCUGGUCUUCCUACAUAAGAAUCUGGUCAUUCCAGAGCUAUGAAUGUUUAGUACAACUUGGUUGCUCACAAAGAAACUCUGAAGAAACUAUGAAAACUGCUGAAGCGACUGAGAUCCUCGUGACACUAUUAUUAUAAAGAUGGCGUUUAUUAAAGUGGAGAGUGAAGACCUGAAGAUUGA